GACGAACGCUGGCGGCGUGCUUAACACAUGCAAGUCGAACGAAGUGGCGAACGGGUGAGUAAUACGUGGGUAACCUGCCCUCCUUUUUGGGAUAAGCCUUGGAAACGGGGUCUAAUACCCAAUAAAGGGGGAUGGGCUCGCGGCCUAUCAGCUUGGUGGGGGGGUGAUGGCCUACCAAGGCGGUGACGGGUAGCCGGGCUGAGAGGGUGCACUGCAACAGUGGGACGGAGCUGAGGCCCAGGCUACGAAGGGGGGGAGCAGUGGGCGAUAGUGGACAAUGGGCGAAAGACUGAUGCAGCGACGACGCGUGGGGGAUGAAGGCUUUCGGGUUGUAAAACUGUUUCGCAAGCGAACGGGUAGGUGGAGAAGAAGCGCCGGCUAACUACGUGCCAGCAGCCGCGGUAAUAC
rnacentral:rRNA from 1 species